AGUGAAGCGGGAUGAAGCUCAAAUUUAAAAUCUGGCUGGUUUACUAGUCCGAAUUGUAGUUUAAAGAAGCGUUUUCGGUGGCAGCCUGGGUAUAAAUCCUUUGGAAUAGGGUAUCAUAGAGGGUGAGAAUCCCGUCUUUGACUCAGUGCAUGCUACUAUGUGAUACGUUUUCAAAGAGUCGAGUUGUUUGGGAAUGCAGCUCAAAAUGGGUGGUAAAUUUCAUCUAAAGCUAAAUAUUGGCGAGAGACCGAUAGCGAACAAGUACCGUGAGGGAAAGAUGAAAAGAACUUUGAAAAGAGAGUUAAAUAGUGCGUGAAAUUGUUGAAAGGGAAACGUUUGACACCAGUCAUGCGGGUGGAAAAUCAGUCUUUUGGGGUGGGGAGUGGUAGGAGUUCAGACCGUAAGGCUGGCUUUUGCUUCAUCUCUGUCCUAAAGGAUGCACUUUUUCAUCUGCAGGUCAACAUCAGUUUCUUCUGCUGGACAAAACUCCGAGAGAAGGUAGCAGCUUUGGCUGUGUUAUAGCUCUGGAGCGAUACAGUGGAGGGGACUGAGGUUUUCGCAGUGUGUGCUCUCGGGCAAGGUCGACUGGGUGCUAUGUGAUCGUUCGGUGUACAAUGCAUGCAUUUUGCGCUGUGUCUUUUGCAUACUCGCCUGAAUCGACUCUUCCACGCUUAGGAUGUUGACUUAAUGGUUUUAAACGACC
rnacentral:rRNA from 2 species